CACAUCAGCUUAGCUGCCAUAUUGUUGUGUCACGUGACGGGGGAGUAACGAGGUGAAUGCGCCGGGUCGAAUUCGUGAGGAAGAGUCUAAAAAUUUUUACACUAUCGACUUUAAGCAAACCAAUUACAAGAUGGAUGUACGAAAAGUGACAGAAUUGUUGCGUGCCACGAUCGACCCAGCGCAACAGAAACAAGCUGAAGAACAAUUAAAUCAGAUCCAUAAAAUUAUUGGUUUUGCACCAACCUUACUCCAAGUAGUAAUGACUGCAGAGCAAAUGCCUGUACGACAAGCAGGUGUUAUAUAUUUGAAGAAUUUAAUUACAACAAAUUGGGCUGAUAGAGAAUGUGAAAAUGGUCCUGUUGAAUUUAGUAUUCAUGAACAAGAUCGUGCAAUGAUACGUGAUGCAAUUGUUGAUGCUCUUGUACAUGCACCAGAACUUAUCAGAGCACAAUUAGCUGUUUGUAUUAACAAUAUUGUGAAACAUGACUUUCCUGGAAGAUGGACACAAAUAGUGGACAAAAUUACAAUAUAUUUACAGAAUUCAGAUGCUUCCUGCUGGCCAGGUGUUUUACUUGCACUCUAUCAGCUUGUUAAAAAUUUUGAGUAUAAAAAAGCAGAGGAAAGAGGGCCAUUGAACGAAGCAAUGAAUCUCUUAUUUCCUAUGAUUUAUCAAUUAAUGUUGCGACUUUUACCAGACCCUUCAGAACAAUCGGUAUUGCUUCAAAAACAGAUAUUGAAAAUAUUUUUUGCCCUUACACAGUACACACUUCCUUUAGAUUUAAUUCCAAAACAAGUUUUUUCGCAAUGGAUGGACGUGGUACGACAAGUUGCCGAUAGACCAGUUCCUCCCGAGACUAAUAAUCCAGAUUUGGAUGACGACGAACGAGCAGAAUUGCCAUGGUGGAAAUGUAAAAAAUGGGCACUUCAUAUUCUUCAUAGAGUGUUCGAGAGAUAUGGCAGUCCCGGAAAUGUAACCAAAGAAUAUCAGGAGUUUGCUGAAUGGUACCUGAGAACUUUCAGUGGUGGUAUACUUGAAGUCCUUUUAAAAAUUUUGGACCAAUAUCGAAGAAAAAUAUACGUAUCACCUAGGGUGAUACAACAAUCAAUUAAUUACAUUAAUCAAGGUGUGAGCCAUGCAUUUUCAUGGAAGUUCUUGAAACCACAUAUGUUCGAGAUAAUUCGUGACGUGCUCUUCCCAAUACUUUCAUAUUCUGCUGCAGAUGAAGAACUUUGGAUUAAUAAUCCAUAUGAAUAUAUUAGAUUAAAAUUUGAUAUAUUUGAAGAUUUUGUAUCUCCGGUAACUGCAGCACAGACUUUAUUACACUCUGCUUGUAAAAAACGUAAGGAUAUGCUUCAAGAAACUAUGCAAUUCUGUGUGGAAGUAUUAACUAGUCCAAAUGCAGACCCCAGGCAAAAGGAUGGUGCAUUACAUAUGGUUGGAAGUUUGGCGGAUGUAUUACUGAAGAAGAAAGUUUAUAAGGAGCAGAUGGACAAGAUGUUGUUACAGUAUGUUUUCCCUGAAUUCAAUAGUCCUCAUGGACAUAUGAGGGCAAGAGCAUGUUGGGUAUUGCACUAUUUUUCUGAAAUAAAAUUUAAACAAGAACAAAUAUUAGUUGAAGCAGUUCGAUUGGCGACGAAUGCUCUUCUUACGGACCAAGAUUUACCGGUUAAGGUAGAGGCUGCUAUCGCUUUACAAAUGCUUCUUUCUGCUCAAGAGAAAGCACAAAAAUAUGUAGAACCUUUAAUUAAACCAAUAACGCUUGAAUUAUUGACUAUCGUGCGAGAAACAGAAAACGACGAUUUGACGACUGUCAUUCAAAAAAUUGUACAUACGUAUUCAGAACAGCUUAUGCCAAUUGCAGUUGAAAUGUGUCAACACCUUGCUACUACUUUCAGCCAAGUACUCGAAACAGACGAAGGCAGUGAUGAGAAAGCUAUAACUGCUAUGGGAUUGUUAAGUACAAUAGAAACUUUAUUAUCUGUCAUGGAAAAACAGCCACAGAUCAUGGCACAAUUACAGCCGACAGUGCUUCAAGUUGUUGCCCACAUUUUUGGAGAAAGUGUUAUGGAAUUCUACGAGGAAGCUCUGUCAUUAGUAUAUGAUCUCACCAGAAACUCAAUAUCAGAAGAUAUGUGGAAAGUUUUGGAAUUAAUGUAUCAAUUAUUCACAAAAGACGGUUUUGAAUAUUUUACUGAUAUGAUGCCUGCUCUUCACAAUUACAUUACCGUAGAUACUCCGGCAUUUCUUUCUAAUGAAAAUCAUAUACUGGCUAUGUUUAAUAUGUGCAAAGCUGUACUAACUGGAGAUGCUGGCGAAGAUCCAGAAUGUCACGCUGCCAAGUUGUUGGAAGUUAUAAUCUUGCAAUGUAAAGGUCAUAUUGAUCAGUGUAUACCUUCUCUUGUACAACUUGUGUUAGAACGUUUGAUGCGUGAAGUUAAAACAUCAGAACUAAGAACCAUGUGCUUACAAGUAGUAAUUGCAGCUCUUUAUUAUAAUCCAGCAUUGUGUCUUGAAACAAUGGACAGAUUACAAGGCAAUUUUGGACAGUCAACUGAACCAAUUGCUUCACAUUUUAUCAAACAAUGGAUACACGAUACAGAUUGUUUCUUAGGAUUGCACGACAGGAAGCUCUGUGUUCUUGGAUUGUGUACUUUAAUUAGUAUGGGUCCAGCAAGACCGCCAGCAGUGAAUGAAUGUGCUCAGCGAAUUAUACCAUCCUUAAUUCUUUUGUUUGAUGGUUUGAAACGAGCCUAUGCAGCAAAGGUAAACGACACCGAUGACGAAGAGAAUGAGGAAGAUGAUAGUGAUAUUGACACAGAAGUGUUAUCAUCGGAUGAAGAUGAAAUCGACGAUGCUAGUCAGGAAUAUUUGGAAAAAUUACAAGAGAAGGUGACAAGGUCAUCUACUCAACAUGGUUUUAAUGUAUCAGCUACACUUCAAGAUGGUGAUCACAGAUCAGACGUUGACGGUGAUGAUUCAGAAUACGAUGCCAACGAAGAAACCCCACUUGAGUGCUAUGCCACACCAUUAGAUUCGGAAGAUACGAAUCAAGAUGAAUAUGUUGUUUUCAAAGAAGUAAUGCAAACCAUUGAAAGAACAGAUACAGUUUGGUACAGGGCAUUAACAGGUCAUUUAACUUCAGAACAGCAAAAAGCAUUACAGGAAGUUAUUCUAUUGGCAGAUCAACGCAAAGCAGCCCUUGAAAGUAAAAGAAUUGAACAGAGUGGAGGUUACGCUUUUCAUUCGCAGACUGUCCCUACGUCGUUUAACUUUGGUGGAACGCCUCUGAGCCGAUAAAGACUCCUGAUCGUUUAUAUUUUUAUGUUAAGUAAGUAAAUAAAUUGCGAAGCAUCCGAGUCGAGUAUCCUCAACAAUGCAAUACAUGUUCCCACUCCGUUAAAACCGAGUUAUACACGCGAGUCAAAAUAAACGAGAGAACAUCCUUUUUUCUUUUUCGUUUGUUCCUUCACGUUUUUUCUGGCUUUUUAUGACUAUAGCUCGGUACAUACAACAAUGGUAGCAUCCUUUCGAGCGUUUGGAAAUUCAUUCCACGAUGGAAUCUGCGAAGAAGCACGUUUCUUUUUUCUCCGCACACUAGUAAAAUAUGCCAGGGAUUAAAUUCUGAUCUUGUUUCCAAAUCACCCCGUGCUUCUUUGCGGAACUCACGUCAAUCCAUUGUCCAGCGCGAUCGAAUCUUUUUUUUUUUUUUUUGUACGAGAAAGAGAAAAGAAUUACAUGUGAAAAUAGAAAUGAAA